AUACCCGGAGCUCACUAGUGGCAGAGCCGGCGACACCCGCUCCUCUCCAGCUCUCUCUUUAGGGACAGAGAGGAAUCUACUUACCAAGACGGCAGGAGCAAGUGGUUAUCAGAGCCUUCUUUCUAGAAAUACAGUUAAAUAAGCAGCCCCGUCUCUUUUUCUCCACUUUCAGUCUUGGGGAAGGGAUUUGAAUAUGUGAGCAGGAGAGAAGGGUCAUGUUGGAGCAGCCAGGACUCAGAGCAUUUCCGCAGACUGAGUCUGGAUCCUUUCCUUCAGCCUCCAGGAAUACUCCUGGCUCCACACCCAGAAUGGUAAUCCAGGCAAGGGCUCUGGUGUGUGGCCACGCUGCCACCUAUUACCUGUGGGUCCAAAUGCAGUGACUCAACUUCUCUGUGCCUCUCUUUCCACAUGUGUAAAAUGAGGAUAGUGUUGCUAUUGUAAGAAUUGCAUCAAUCAAUACACAGCACUCAGUGAA